AGCCAUGAGAACCAGGAGAUCUACCAGAAGGCCUUCGACCUCAUUGAGCACUACUUUGGUGUAGAAGAUGAUGACAGCAGCCUGGCCCCCCAAGUGGAUGAGACACAACAGCAGUUCAUCUUCCAGCAGCCUGAGGCCCCCAUGGAGGGCUUCCAGCUAUAAUGUCUGCCUCCGGGGAGGGGAGGGGAUGGGAAGCACCACCAACCAGCGGAAAAGCAGCCCUCUGGUGGGCGGGAAACCAGCCCCCCCAUCAUCAGCCACCAUACACCUCUGCUGCCCUGGAAACUGUGCUCUUGACCUGCUCCGCCCCCUUCCCUGGAGGGAGCACCCUCUGGACAGACAGAACCAUCUGAGGCUCACAUUUGGGUUUUGUGACAAGAAGGGGACGUGUUGGGUUUUUCUUCCUUACACUAUAUUUUGGCUGCACAUAUGUCUUUAACCCAGGAGCCCCAGGGGUAGACAAAGGAGGACUGAGGUAAUCAAUUUUGCACCUUUUUUUAAUUUUAUUUUUUCUUUAGUGGUGACUUCCUUCCCUUUUAUCUUCCUUCAUCCUUCCCAGUUCUCUGCCCUGAUCUGUGUAACUCUUAUCUUGGGUACUUGAGCAGAUGGAAUGUUCCAGAGGUGGGGGGUGGGAGGGGAGGGGAGAAAUCCAAAACAAAGUGUUCUUGCUCUGACAGAAUAUUAAUCUUGUAUGCUUGGAUUGAGUUAUUUAAUUUUUUUUUUCUUUUGCACAUUUUUCUUGUAUUAAGAUUGCUCUUUCCAAGAGCCAUGAGUUCCUGGUUUUAGGAAUCCCAGCUGCCAGCAUGGUCUGGGACUAGAGGCUGAGGGGGAGGUCACCAUGAGACAAAGGCCCCUUCCUCUCUCUAACCCCUUUCCAGACCUCUUUAGUUUGGGAGAUCUCCUUCCCUCUCCAGGGGCAAGUCCACCAGUGGGAGGGGAGGGGAGGAGCACAGGCCUUCAGAUGGGGCUUCCCAUGUGUCGCUACUGAUCCCAUGUUUCCUACCCACCUUCCUAUGGUGCGACCCAACUUCAUUUGUUUACUUGAAAAUUCCCCUCGGAGUUGAAUGAACCUCUGAGGUAGCUGUAUUUUCUCCUAAGCACGAGACAGGGGGCUGUGGGCCUUCCUCUCUCCUGAGGAGAAAGUCCUUGCUCUGGUGACCCAUAAGUUGCAGAGGAGGCUGGAGUGAGAGCAUCAUGUAUUGGGAUAGCCAGGGAUCCCUGCCUUUGGCCUUUCUUCUUCCUCUUCCUCUUCCUCUUCCUCUUCCUCUUCCUCUUCCUCUUCCUCUUCCUCUUCCUCUUCCAUAGUUGGAUCAUGUAUAUUUUACUUCCAAAGGAGAGAAUGUCAAAAAGUUCUGUAUUUUUUUAUAUUCUAUAUAUUAGGUAGGUCAAUCUUAAUUGGUCUCAAGAGGAAGAACUGUCUGUAAUUUCUAGAAGUAGGAUACUGUGAGGAAGACCAAAAAGAGAUGGGGAAGCUCCUUUGCUCAGGGAGCCUGAGCUUGGUCCUUUUCCUCUCUGCUUAGGUUCUGGGCCACCAACCUGGGACCAACCCUUAGCGCUGGAACCUUUACAUAGCAGGUCAGCCUGGUCUGAUUGUCCCAGUACCUGAAGGGAGCAAGGAUGGCCCCAGGGCCCAGUGAAGUCUACCACUCUAGUCCUUACUGCUAAGCGUCCUGCUUAUAUUAGGAAACCCAAAAAGCAGUCUGCCUUCUCAGAUUCAGUCUCAAAGGCCCUGUCCACAUAAGUUAUCACACAUGGCUGCUUCUCCAGUUAUCACAGAACUUAGCAGCCUCCGGACUUUUGUGAGAGUCACUGGUAUCUUUCCUGUUUGGGAAUUCUUGGACCUGGUGUGGGUCUUGCCCUUCCUGGUGACAGUUAUAAUCCUAAUGCCUUUUCUCUUUGAGGAAAGCUAGAGUGAUGCUUCAGUGGCUUGCCUGCGCUUUGGUGGAUUACAGGAUAGUAGAGCCCAGUUGUUGGGGAGAAGGAUGGAGAAAGCUGCUGGCUAAGUGUAGACCAGCUGCGGAGCUGUGGGCACAGUCGGGUCCCUGCACCAAGCUGUAGUUCCCCUUCCCCAGAGACUGUGCCACUCUUGCUCCUGUUCCCACAUAUCCCCCCCGGCUCAGGUUAAACCUAUACCCCUCUGCUUACAGAUCUAAAGUUUAGGUGCUCACUGUCGGCCAUUGGUCUUGAAUUUGCCCUCUCCGUCUAGUGUUGAGAUCCAACUCCAGAACCAUUUUCUAAGGAAGGUGGUUUGGGGCUUGUGGUUGUCACUAAAAAGUCACACCAAUGCUGUUACACUUUAGUGAGUCAGAUGCUAUUCUUCAGCUUAAGAAUGACAACUACCAACCCACAAGUAGGCAAGGGGCAGGACCCUUGUCAUUUAGCCAGCUGACUCCAUCACAAAACUAUUCUCCUACAGUUCAAAGAAAAGCCACCCGCCCCCCGCGCAUGCCCCCCAUCCUUAUCCAAAGGGCAAAGCACUUUAGUAGGACCUAUUUUAUACAUCUCAAGCAAUAGUUGAGUCCCUGACAUUGGGGCCAGAUUUUUCUUGUGAGACAUACACAUCCUGCUUUUCCCAACUGCGCCUCUAAAAUCUUACACUUUAGAUCUGGGGCCUGUACCAGAUGGAAGAUUCUCUUUUGAUCUUCUGGCUGCUGCUUAAAGCCAGUUUUCUCCAAGGACUUCAAAGGUGAAGUCUCCCAGGGCACAACAUGAGGACAGAUUUCUCAUCAGAUAAAGUGGCCUCUAGGAACUUUCCUUUGUUGGUGUCUUCCUCAGACCAUAUUUUCCCAUUAUUUCCCUCUAACCUACCCUUUCAGCCAGCAGGUAAGAUUCUUCCAGCCCACAGGGGCAGUAAUGCCACCUUCUCUGUCUCCUCCUCUCCUUUGGCCCUCUUGGGAAGCAAAACAUUAUUUCUGUGGCCCAGCCUUGACAGCCACUCUUUGUGGGCAGCCCCCACUUGGACUCUAGACCCUGGCCUUGGUGAAGUCGAAGGCCACUUUUUGGUGGAUUUCUGAAUGGAUGUUGUAGGGCUGAAGGGGCUCCCCAGCCUGUCGUAGGGAAUAGCCUGAAAAGACAUGUUUUUAGAAUCUCCCUAUGUUGGCACAUGGCUGGUCUAUCCAUUUUAAGAUCUCUGGUGGAGGUGGAGGUAUCUAGGUGUGGAUUAGAGGACAAGGAGCCGCCUUCUCAGCUCAAGUGUUCUAGUACUGUUUUGAACAGUGCCAGCUUUUCUUUAUUGCCAGCCCCUCUGGUUAUCCAACCCCCUAUAUGUUCUCUAGUACUAAUAAAGUCUCUAAUCUCAGAAACCUGCCUUCAGUUCUGAGCUAUCCCCAGUGGCUAACUGCCUCACCUUGGUGUUGGCUACAGCCUUCCGGUAGAACCACAUGGGUUCCACUUUCAGCUGGCCAGCCUAGUUACUUGGGGCAUUGUGUACAAAUGACCCUUCGGAGGAGCAGGCAUUGAUGACCUCAGCUUUCAGGAACCCUUGCUGUCUGCUCCCGCCCCCCCCCCCCUUACCUAGAACUCUUAGGCCUACUCCUACUCUUUGCCCUGGAAGCCACUUUCCCAGAGCCCUGUUUUUUGGAGCUAAACUGCACAGAUUAUAGCUGCUACUGUACUUGGUCAAGGAAGAGCAAAAGAAGGCUCUCAGGCACACUCUAUUUCUCUCAAGCCACACCAGUUUAAAAUGAAAACCGUCUUAGCAGAAUGAACUGGAUUUCCAUUUUCUCAUGUCUACUACCUGCCUUUCCUCUACAUCGUAGAGUUACCCAUUCUAGCAGACUAGAAGGGAAGGAGAUGAACACCUAACAGUACUUACCCCUCUUCCCACAGUGUCCUUCUUUGGAGGCCUCAGCUCAUUUGUUCUGGCCACAUCUCCUCCCUGAGACUCAUUCAGCUUGGUAUCCAUCAUCUCUGACUCCUCAGUAGAUUCAUCUUGUGAGCUCAGAUUCUGGAGUUUGAGUUGAAGGCAGGGAGCUGUAAGGAGAACUGGCUGGAGGCCUCAGGACUGUGUGUGCCUUUGUGCCUCCCUGGAAGAGGGAAGGGUGCAAGGCUUAGUGUGCUGAACCAUAGGAAGUGUUCAUAACCGGCAGCAACAUCUUCCAGUUAGGACUAUCCUAGAAGUGAGUGCGUGAGACUUGAGAAUUUGCUCAGAGUAGGUUUCUUCCACAGCCGUUUAGGAUUUCACAUUGUAGACCAAUCUUGUCCAGUAUUUUUUGUUUUAACUUUUGAAUUCUUUUGUUAAGCCAGCAAGCUGAGAAUUUGGCCCUGCGGGGAUCCAUGUGGUAGACACUAGCUGCUCUUUGGCCAAGGCCUUCAUAAAUGAUUCAGUCAUCCCACUGUCUACCCCCUAGCCCCACCCCCACACUAAGACCACGAUAAGGGAAGAAUUUGAAGUCCAUCAUAUCAAUCAAGUCUGUGAAUUAAAGCUGUUAUUUUUCCUCGGAGAUGGCAUUUUGCAUCAGGCCUGGGGUAUGUGUAGAAUCAAAACUAGGUGUGGGAGUCAGCAUUAACUUUUGGGUUGGGCCCAGAGCACCCAGGAAAAGGUUUGUGUAGUGUGUUACAAAGGUCUCCAGUGGGUCUGGGCCUACCGUGCUACUUCUGGGCCAGCCUGACUGCUGAUGUUCACAUUAGCACAUACCUGAACGGCCAGACUUGCUCCCCUUUGCUUUAGUAGGUUAGAUUUUCAGCCCUUGGGUUUGGGGAGAGAGAACUCUGCCAUGCCUUGGGGGCAGUGAAGGAAGUCAAAGCUCAGAUCCAGAGACUGGCUGGGAACCUCCGACUCAGGAUGUCUUUAAUGAGUCCACCUCUACAAGAACUCUCAGGCCCUGGAGCUAGGUACUGUCUCUUUUAGCCAGCUUCUGUGGGAACUAUCUGACUGAACCACUGAAGAAGCAUGGGGGGUGGGAAGGCGGUAUGAGGUCCCAGCCACCCAAGACAGACUGGAUGUCCUUCAAAAACAGCUUGGGUUCCCAGCUAAAGACCCUAGGAAGCUGAAUCGAAACUUUUUCCUCACUGGUUUAUUUUUUCCAAAUUCAUUUGCUUUUAGUUUUCCAAAAACUAUAAACUCUGGCUGUUUUCCGUGUUCUCAGGGCCCCUGGGUAGACAGACAAAGCUUGAUGAUUUCAGAGCAGACAUAGGCCAAGAAGCCGUGGCAUUGAGUGUGCUGAGUCCAGACAAAUGAUAUUUAUAUACACAUCCAAAUUUGAAGAGAAAAUGUAUUUCUUUAGGUUUCAAACACUGUACUAGAUAUAAAGCAAAAAAUAAAAACCUGUUGCAAAGUUCUAAA
rnacentral:lncRNA from 1 species